CCUGCCCCCCGCCCAGGGACAGCCCCCCGAAAGGGGGAUUAAUACCUGGUACUCCGGAAGCGGCGCAUGCCGCAUCCGGGAAAGCUCUCGCGGCGGGGGAUGGGGUCGCGGCCCAUCAGGUAGACGGCGGGGCAGAGACCCACCGUGCCGACGACGGGUAGCCGGGUUGAGAGACCGACCGGUCACAUUGGGACUGAGAUACGGCCCAGACUCCUACGGGAGGCAGCAGUGGGGAAUUUUGCGCAAUGGGGGCAACCCUGACGCAGCAACGCCGCGUGCGGGACGAAGGCGUCCGCGUCGUAAACCGCUUUCAGCGGGGAACACCUAAACGAGGGUACCCGCAGAAGAAGCCCCGGCUAAAUACGUGCCAGCAGCCGCGGUAAUACGUAUGGGGCGAGCGUUAUCCGGAUUCAUUGGGCGUAAAGCGCGCGUAGGCGGAGCGCUAAGCGGGACCUCUAACCCGAGGGCUCAACCCCCGGCCGGGUCCCGAACUGGCGCUCUCGAGUGCGGUAGGGGAGAGCGGAAUUCCCGGUGUAGCGGUGGAAUGCGCAGAUAUCGGGAAGAACACCGACGGCGAAGGCAGCUCUCUGGGCCGAAACUGACGCUGAGGCGCGAAAGCUGGGGGAGCGAACAGGAUUAGAUACCCUGGUAGUCCCAGCCGUAAACGAUGGGCGCUAGGUGUGGGGGAUGAGAUCCCCCGUGCCGCAG
rnacentral:rRNA from 1 species